rnacentral:sRNA from 12 species
UUCUAGCCCUGAUAGUAGAGAAAAUCCUUUUGUGCCGGGGUUCGGUACAAAAGAUUGUAACGGAUAGCAGGAAACAGC